rfam:Schistosoma curassoni strain Dakar, Senegal genome assembly, scaffold: SCTD_scaffold0000105
AUUCAUCUGAUGAGUCCCGAAUAGGACGAAACGUGUGUCGUGGAU